GACGAACGCUGGCGGCGUGCUUAACACAUGCAAGUCGAACGGAAAGGCCCUGCUUUUGUGGGGUGCUCGAGUGGCGAACGGGUGAGUAACACGUGAGUAACCUGCCCUUGACUUUGGGAUAACUUCAGGAAACUGGGGCUAAUACCGGAUAGGAGCUCCUGCUGCAUGGUGGGGGUUGGAAAGUUUCGGCGGUUGGGGAUGGACUCGCGGCUUAUCAGCUUGUUGGUGGGGUAGUGGCUUACCAAGGCUUUGACGGGUAGCCGGCCUGAGAGGGUGACCGGCCACAUUAGGACUGAGAUACGGCCCAGACUGCUACGGGAGGCAGCAGUGGGGAAUAUUGCACAAUGGGCGGAAGCCUGAUGCAGCAACGCCGCGUGCGGGAUGACGGCCUUCGGGUUGUAAACCGCUUUCGCCUGUGACGAAGCGUGAGUGACGGUAAUGGGUAAAGAAGCACCGGCUAACUACGUG
rnacentral:rRNA from 1 species